UUGCUGUGAUGAAUAUUUAACUGUGACCCAAGACGCUUGUCGUCGGUGACGGUGCACAACCCUCUAAGAAGUUCUGAGCUU